AACGAACGCUGGCGGCGCGCCUAAUACAUGCAAGUCGAGCGAGAAGACGUAGCAAUACGUUUGUAAAGCGGCGAACGGGUGAGGAAUACAUGGGUAACCUACCCUCGAGUGGGGAAUAACUAGCCGAAAGGUUAGCUAAUACCGCGUACGCUCCUUGGACUUCGGUUCAGGGAGGAAAGCGAUACCGUGGGUAUCGCGCUCUUGGAUGGGCUCAUGUCCUAUCAGCUUGNGGUGAGGUAACGGCUCACCAAGGCUUCGACGGGUAGCUGGUCUGAGAGGACGAUCAGCCACACUGGCACUGCGACACGGGCCAGACUCCUACGGGAGGCAGCAGUAAGGAAUAUUGCGCAAUGGGCGAAAGCCUGACGCAGCGACGCCGCGGUGGGGGA
rnacentral:rRNA from 1 species